rnacentral:rRNA from 1 species
CUACGAAGGUCCCAAGCGUUAUUCGGAAUCACUGGGCGUAAAGAGUACGUAGGCGGUUGGGUAAGUCAGGUGUGAAAUCCCGGAGCUCAACUCCGGAACUGCAUCCGAUACUGCCAGACUUGAGUAAUGGAGAGGCAGGUGGAAUUCUCGGUGUAGCAGUGAAAUGCGUGGAUAUCGAGAGGAAGACCAAUGGCGAAGGCAGCCUGCUGGACAUUUACUGACGCUGAGGUACGAAGGCUAGGGGAGCGAAAGGGAUUAGAAACCCCGGUAGUCC